GUGGGUAUAGCUCAGUGGUGGAGCACAUGUUUGGCUGCACAAGGUCCUGGGUUCAAUCCCUGGUGCCUCCA
rnacentral:tRNA from 1 species